AUGCCAGGAAACAGGAAAUUGGCCUUUCUCUUUCGGAUCGAGUUCUUGUCGGAUUCAAACCAAACCCGCACCGUUAAAUAUAUUGUUCAAGGUGUACUCGAUCUUUCGAGCAGUGCCGGCGAAGCUGCAAGGCAGGAAACGAGGGCCUCCCCAAGUGAAAAAAAAAAAGGGCGGCAGGGACAAUAUGCUGAUUUAGGCAUCAAUCCUUUGGUAGCUGCACAGAUGCAAUACAUGUCAGCACAGAGCCUACAACACAACUCUGGUAUGAGUCAUUUUCCAGGAGGAUCAGAUUCUUUCCAGCCUGGUGAAGAACAUCAAUAUAUGCCUUCUAAAGAAGAGGGACAAUGGCAGUGGAAUAGAAAUGACCCAAAGGGAUCAAAUCAUCUAUCUCAACUGUAUAAAGAAGGCCAAGGAAGUGAUGUUUCAUGCUCUUUGUAUGAAGGACAAGUGUCUGAUACAAAAUUAGGUAUGGAUAUGCAGGCCACUAAAGACCCAAGAGCACUAGCUUAUGAGGAUUAGCCGGAGGCCAGAUUUGAGGAUAGCACUCUUCCUCAAACUUUGGAAGGUCUUGAACAAAAAUUUCUUUAUGAUAUUAUGAACUUGACCAAGGAGCAGCAGGAAGCAGAGGACAGAGAGAAUGCUAGACAUCGAGAGGUCCAGCCUCCCAUAUCCUUAAGUUUCUGCAUUGAAUCGAUUCUAAAUGCUUGCACAAAAUUUUUUUGAGCAUUAUCCUGGUGGUCGUGGCUUUGGUUCUCAUGAUCAUUAUCCUGGUGGUCGAGCUUAUAACUCCAGAGGCCGACAUUUUUGAACAAAGUUGCAAAAAUGUUUCUCCUCAUCCUUUGGCCUGUCAUCACUGCUUGACAACAUUAUUCUGAAGACUCGUAUCUCAGUAGUAUUGAUGAAGCACAAAUAGCUUUUCUCUAAGCGGCAACUGUUCUGCUGAAUGCCGAUCAUGUCUGGAUAUAUGGGUGUGUAGCAGUGUAGUGGAUAAUCUUCAAAAUUUUCUUAGUGUAUUUCACUGUGAAUUACUUCAAUAUCAUCACCUCGAUCAAUAUAUUUGUUCUGAACAUGGUGGCAACAGAGCUCUAGACUUCCUCAUCAUAAUUCUGGGCAGGCUUAGCUUCAGUUUGAGAUUUUCUCGAAUGAUCAUCAGGCAGUGUUUCUUUCACAGUCGUGAGCAUGCUGGUUGAUCUUAAUAUAUCAGCACUCAACCUUCGUCAAGGCAAAAUUUCAUAUACGCCAGUGAAAGACCAGUCUUCUAUUUGCGCUUUCAAGAGUGUAAUUAUCAAAUUUGUCCCUCAUGGAGCUAUAAAUUCUUUUGUCACUGGUAUAUUCAUGGUGGAUGCCUGUGAACUCAGUGUGCUACCAUCAGCCAUAUCUACCCCUAAACUAAGGUACAUGUGAUAUUUUUUAUAUGUUGGAAUAUUAUAUUUACUCUUUCUGGUAUGCUGCAUGAUGACUCAUAAUUUCAUCGAAGCCCUUGCCAAGUAGUUUUUAUUAUAUAUGCCAUUUGUAACAUAAUAAAAUGUUCAUAAAUGACAUUUUCCAUGGGUACUGAUGAUAUUUAUAGAAUUUAAGAAUGUCCUCGUCAAGUGUCACAGCUGUUACAUUUUCAAAAAUUUUACAUGUGGACAUUUUCAUAUUUUGAAGAGGAUAUGAUAUUUACUCUUUCUGUAUAUGCUGCAUGAUGCUUAUAAUUUCACCAAAGCCCCUGCCAAGUAAUUUGUUUCA